UGAGGAAUAUUGCGCAAUGGAGGCAACUCUGACGCAGCCAUGCCGCGUGCAGGAGGACGGCCCUACGGGUUGUAAACUGCUUUUCUUAACCAAGAACCGUGGAUACUCUUAUCCACCUGACUGGUUUUGGAAUAAGCAUCGGCUAACUCCGUGCCAGCAGCCGCGGUAAUACGGAGGAUGCAAGCGUUAUCCGGAUUCACUAGGUUUAAAGGGUGCGUAGGCGGAAUAAUAAGUCAGUGGUGAAAUCUUGCGGAUCAACCGUAAAAUUGCCAUUGAUACUGUUAUUCUUGAGUAUGGUUGAGGUAGGCGGAAUGAGUAAUGUAGCGGUGAAAUGCUUAGAUAUUACUCAGAACACCGAUUGCGUAGGCAGCUUACCAAGCCAUCACUGACGCUGAGGCACGAAAGCGUGGGUAGCAAACA
rnacentral:rRNA from 1 species